rnacentral:lncRNA from 1 species
AAGGAGCAGGGUAAAAGGUGAACUCUAAGGCUUGCAGGCUGAUGGAACCUCUAUCCAGAACAUCACUGAUCUAUAUGGAAGGGCAAGAGUGAAGCCUGUGAAUUC